UACGAAGGGGGCUAGCGUUGUUCGGAAUUACUGGGCGUAAAGCGCACGUAGGCGGAUAUUUAAGUCAGGGGUGAAAUCCCAGAGCUCAACUCUGGAACUGCCUUUGAUACUGGGUAUCUUGAGUAUGGAAGAGGUACGUGGAAUUCCGAGUGUAGAGGUGAAAUUCGUAGAUAUUCGGAGGAACACCAGUGGCGAAGGCGGCUUACUGGUCCAUUACUGACGCUGAGGUGCGAAAGCGUGGGGAGCAAACAGG
rnacentral:rRNA from 1 species